CGCAAUGGGCGAAAGCCUGACGGAGCGACGCCGCGUGAUGGAUGAAGUCCUUAGGGACGUAAGCAUCUUUUAUGAGGGAGAAAGUUUAUUGAUAGUACCUCAAGAAUAAGGGGUUGCUAAACUCGUGCCAGCAGCAGCGGUAAUACGAGUGCCCCGAGCGUUAUCCGGAAUCAUUGGGCGUAAAGGGUGUGUAGGUGGUUGUGUUAGUCUUUUGUUAAAGCCCGGAGCUUAACUCCGGAACCGCGAAAGAAACGGCACGACUAGAGGAUGGCAGGGAUGUAUAGAACUCAUGGAGUAGGGGUGAAAUCCGUUGAUAUCAUGGGGAAUACCAAAAGCGAAGGCAGUACAUUGGGCCACUCCUGACACUGAAACACGAAAGCGU
rnacentral:rRNA from 1 species